UACGUAGGUGGCAAGCGUUGUCCGGAUUUAUUGGGUUUAAAGGGUGCGUAGGCGGUCCUAUAAGUCAGUGCUGAAAUAUCCCGGCUUAACCGGGAGGGUGGCAUUGAUACUGCAGGACUUGAGUAAAGUUGAGGUAGGCGGAAUUGACGGUGUAGCGGUGAAAAUGCUUAGAUAUCGUCAAGAACACCGAUAGUGAAGACAGCUUACUAAACUUUAACUGACGCUGAGGCACGAAAGUGUGGGGAUCAAACAGG
rnacentral:rRNA from 1 species